GACGAACGCUGGCGGCGUGCUUAACACAUGCAAGUCGAACGGAAAGGCCCUGCUUGUGUGGGGUGCUCGAGUGGCGAACGGGUGAGUAACACGUGAGUAACCUGCCCUUGACUUUGGGAUAACUUCAGGAAACUGGGGCUAAUACCGGAUAGGAGCUCCUGCUGCAUGGUGGGGGUUGGAAAGUUUCGGCGGUUGGGGAUGGACUCGCGGCUUAUCAGCUUGUUGGUGGGGUAGUGGCUUACCAAGGCUUUGACGGGUAGCCGGCCUGAGAGGGUGACCGGCCACAUUGGGACUGAGAUACGGCCCAGACUCCUCCGGGAGGCAGCAGUGGGGAAUAUUGCACAAUGGGCGGAAGCCUGAUGCAGCAACGCCGCGUGCGGGAUGACGGCCUUCGGGUUGUAAACCGCUUUCGCCUGUGACGAAGCGUGAGUGACGGUAAUGGGUAAAGAAGCACCGGCUAACUACGUG
rnacentral:rRNA from 1 species